rnacentral:tRNA from 1 species
GAGGGUAUAGCUCAGUGGUGGAGUGCAUGCCUAGCAUGCACAAGUUCCUGGGUUCAAACCCCAGUACCUCCA